AGCAACAUUUGAAGGAACGGAAUCUAAGUAUCAUUGUGAAUUCAUUAGGUUCCCAAUAGGAUUUGCAUGUAAUAAGCUUGUUAUUCAAGAUAGAUCAACGUUUGAACGAACUGAAACACUGUUUCUUUGUGAAUUCAGUUAGUUCCCAAUCGCAGGCUCUUGUAAUAUGUGUACUUUUAAAGAUUUAUCAAAAUUUGGUGAGCCGAAACUCAGUAACUUGGUGAAUUCGGUUAGUUCCCAAUAGGCCACAGUGGUAAUAAGUGGACUGUUCAGGAUAUUGAAAAAAAUUUCACGAAUGGAAUCAAAAUUUCUAGGUGAAUUCAGUGAGUUCCCAAUGGGAUAUGCUUGUAUGAGUGUGCUUUUCAAUAUAUAUCAACAUUUUAAGGAACGUAAUCUAAGUAUCAUGGUGAAUUCA
ensembl:lncRNA